UGUUUUUUUAUAAAAAAAAAAAAAAAAAAACCUGGUUUUUCUCAAUAUACCUUUAAAGGUUUUUACAUUGUUCCAUAUCUGGUCAAGUUGAGAUCUUUAAGAACCUCAUUUUUAAUUUGUAAUAAAAUUUUACAACUUUUUUUUUUUCAAAAAAGUCAAUAAAUAGCAAGCA